GUUUACAGGCUCACCGCCCUGCAUGCGCCUGUCUCAUCUGAUCUCGGAAGCUAAGCAGGUCAGGCUUGGGUGGGAGUAGAGUACGUGACGCAUUUCUUCCCUAGUAGUUUUGUUGACU
rnacentral:rRNA from 1 species